rnacentral:rRNA from 1 species
GUGGGGAAUAUUGGACAAUGGGCGAAAGCCUGAUCCAGCCAUGCCGCGUGUGUGAAGAAGGUCUUCGGAUUGUAAAGCACUUUAAGUUGGGAGGAAGGGCAGUAAGUUAAUACCUUGCUGUUUUGACGUUACCGACAGAAUAAGCACCGGCUAACUUCGUGCCAGCAGCCGCGGUAAUACGAAGGGUGCAAGCGUUAAUCGGAAUUACUGGGCGUAAAGCGCGCGUAGGUGGUUUUGUAAGUUGGAGGUGAAAUCCCCGGACUCAACCUGGGAACUGCCUCCAAAACUGCAUGACUAGAGUACAGUAGAGGGUAGUGGAAUUUCCUGUGUAGCGGUGAAAUGCGUAGAUAUAGGAAGGAACACCAGUGGCGAAGGCGACGACCUGGACUGAUACUGACACUGAGGUGCGAAAGCGUGGGGAGCAAACAGGAUUAGAAACCCGAGUAGUCC